rnacentral:rRNA from 1 species
UACGUAGGGGGCGAGCGUUGUCCGGAAUUAUUGGGCGUAAAGGGUUCGCAGGUGGUUGAUUAAGUCUGAUGUGAAAGCCCACGGCUUAACCGUGGAGGGUCAUUGGAAACUGGUCGACUUGAGUGCAGAAGAGGGAAGUGGAAUUCCAUGUGUAGCGGUGAAAUGCGUAGAGAUAUGGAGGAACACCAGUGGCGAAGGCGGCCUCCUGGUCUGUAACUGACACUGAGGCGCGAAAGCGUGGGGAGCAAACAGGAUUAGAUACCCUGGUAGU